rnacentral:rRNA from 1 species
UACGUAGGGGGCAAGCGUUGUCCGGAUUUAUUGGGCGUAAAGCGCGUGUAGGCGGCCACGCAGGUCCGCUGUGAAAACUCGAGGCUCAACCUCGAGCUGUCGGUGGAAACCGCGUGGCUAGAGUCCGGAAGAGGGGACUGGAAUUCCCGGUGUAGCGGUGGAAUGCGCAGAUAUCGGGAGGAACACCAAUGGCGAAGGCAGCUCGCUGGGACGUGACUGACGCUGAGACGCGAAAGCGUGGGGAGCAAACAGG